rnacentral:rRNA from 1 species
AGAGUUUGAUCCUGGCUCAGGACGAACGCUGGCGGCGUGCUUAACACAUGCAAGUCGAACGGAAAGGUCUCUUCGGAGACACUCGAGUGGCGAACGGGUGAGUAACACGUGGGCAAUCUGCCCUGCACUUCGGGAUAAGCCUGGGAAACUGGGUCUAAUACCGGAUAGGACCUCAAGACGCAUGUCUUCUGGUGGAAAGCUUUUGCGGUGUGGGAUGGGCCCGCGGCCUAUCAGCUUGUUGGUGGGGUGACGGCCUACCAAGGCGACGACGGGUAGCCGGCCUGAGAGGGUGUCCGGCCACACUGGGACUGAGAUACGGCCCAGACUCCUACGGGAGGCAGCAGUGGGGAAUAUUGCACAAUGGGCGCAAGCCUGAUGCAGCGACGCCGCAUGGGGGAUGACGGCCUUCGGGUUGUAAACCUCUUUCAGCAGGGACGAAGCGCAAGUGACGGUACCUGCAGAAGAAGCACCGGCCAACUACGUGCCAGCAGCCGCGGUAAUACGUAGGGUGCGAGCGUUGUCCGGAAUUACUGGGCGUAAAGAGCUCGUAGGUGGUUUGUCGCGUUGUUCGUGAAAUCUCACGGCUUAACUGUGAGCGUGCGGGCGAUACGGGCAGACUAGAGUACUGCAGGGGAGACUGGAAUUCCUGGUGUAGCGGUGGAAUGCGCAGAUAUCAGGAGGAACACCGGUGGCGAAGGCGGGUCUCUGGGCAGUAACUGACGCUGAGGAGCGAAAGCGUGGGGAGCGAACAGGAUUAGAUACCCUGGUAGUCC